CCCUUAGAUGUCCUGGGCUGCACGCGCGCUACACUGGAAGUUACGGAUUGAGAUACUACCUAGUCCGAAAUGGUCCGGGUAAUCACCUAAAAGCUUGUCAUAAUUGGAAUGGAUUAUUGUAACUAGUAAUCCUGAACGAGGAAUUCCUAGUAAGUCCCAGUCAACAGCUGGUACUGAUUACGUCCCUGCCCUUUGUACACACCGCCCGUCGCUACUACUGAUUGGACGUUUAAGCAAGAUUUUUAAACACUGACAGUGUGUAGUUCACGCUAUACUACAGUGAGAAGAAGAAGAUCGAGCUUACUUGUCUAGAGGAAGUAAAAGUCGUAACA
rnacentral:rRNA from 1 species